rnacentral:rRNA from 1 species
AACGAACGCUGGCGGCAUGCCUAACACAUGCGAGUCGAACGAGACCUUCGGGUCUAGUGGCGCACGGGUGCGUAACGCGUGGGAACCUGCCCUUAGGUUCGGAAUAACUCCCCGAAAGGGGUGCUAAUACCGGAUAAUGUCUUCGGACCAAAGAUUUAUCGCCUUUGGAUGGGCCCGCGUUGGAUUAGCUAGUUGGUAGGGUAAAAGCCUACCAAGGCGACGAUCCAUAGCUGGUCUGAGAGGAGGAUCAGCCACACUGGGAAUGAGACACGGCCCAGACUCCUACGGGAGGCAGCAGUGGGGAAUAUUGGACAAUGGGCGAAAGCCUGAUCCAGCAAUGCCGCGUGAGUGAUGAAGGCCUUAGGGUUGUAAAGCUCUUUUACCCGGGAUGAUAAUGACAGUACCGGGAGAAUAAGCACCGGCUAACUCCGUG